rnacentral:rRNA from 1 species
ACAGGGUGACAGGUGGUGCAUGGUCGUCGUCAGCUCGUGUCGUGAGAUGUUGGGGUUAAAGUCCCCGGCAACCGAGCGCAACCCUCGCCUCUAGUUGCCAGCAUCGGUUGGGCACUCUAGAGGGACUGCCGGCGACAAGUCGGAGGAAGUGGGGAUGACGUCAAAUCAUCAUGCCCCUUAUGACCUGGGCUACACACGUGCUACAAUGGGCGGUACAAAGGGCUGCGAACCCGCGAGGGGGAGCGAAUCCCAAAAAGCCGCUCUCAGUUCGGAUUGCAGGCUGCAACUCGCCUGCAUGAAGCCGGAAUCGCUAGUAAUCGCGGAUCAGCAUGCCGCGGUGAAUACGUUCCCGGGCCUU